rnacentral:rRNA from 1 species
UACGUAGGGUGCAAGCGUUGUCCGGAAUUAUUGGGCGUAAAGAGCUCGUAGGCGGUCUGUCGCGUCGGAUGUGAAAAUCCAGGGCUCAACCCUGGACCUGCAUUCGAUACGGGCAGACUAGAGUUCGGCAGGGGAGACUGGAAUUCCUGGUGUAGCGGUGAAAUGCGCAGAUAUCAGGAGGAGCACCGGUGGCGAAGGCGGGUCUCUGGGCCGAAACUGACGCUGAGGAGCGAAAGCGUGGGGAGCAAACAGG